UUGGCAGGCCCCAGCAAGCCAGGAAGGAGGCUGGCAGAGCUCCCUGCAGCAGACCAGACCAUCCAGCACAGCUUUUGCAAGGGAAAGUCUCUAAUGUAUAUCAUUGGGAUAUUUGGUGUGAAGUGAAAAUGGCCACAGAUUUAAUUAAAAUGGGAGGAAAAUGCUACGGUAUUUUUAUCAUCCAUCAAGCUGCUUACCAUUGUGUUAAGGUUGGGCCGUGUGCAGCCACCAUACAUCACAGGAUAGCUUUGAUUCUGAAGUCAGGACCAGGAGGGCCCAACAGUGAACAGGAUGUAAGAGACAUAAGAUUCACUCCUCAGCUGAAAACAUUGAUGUGACAAACGUUACAGAAAAAUUAAUUAGAAAUAAAAAGCCACAAUCAGACCUUAAAAAGUUAACAAAAGGAUUUUCUGCUAUAGAGUGAAUGUGGAUUUUGGAAACAACUGAAUCACCGCAGACUUUUUUGCAGUUUGGAACGUUUUACAAUAUUUCCCCACGGUUUCAACUCCUUAAAAAAAAAAAAGGGCAACAAGAUGACAUAAGCAUAUGCUCCUUUGCACUAAAAACUGUUUCUCAACCUCUAAAUGCCUUAUUGUCUUGAAAUGACAAAAUUACACUUGCCGAACCUUUCAAAGGAGGGAAUCUGAAAUUACGGCUAUCGCAAAUAAAUU